rnacentral:rRNA from 1 species
GACGGAGGAUGCAAGUGUUAUCCGGAAUCACUGGGCGUAAAGCGUCUGUAGGUGGUUUAAUAAGUCAACUGUUAAAUCUUGAGGCUCAACCUCAAAAUCGCAGUCGAAACUAUUAGGCUAGAGUAUAGUAGGGGUAAAGGGAAUUUCCAGUGGAGCGGUGAAAUGCGUAGAGAUUGGAAAGAACACCGAUGGCGAAGGCACUUUACUGGGCUAUUACUAACACUGAGAGACGAAAGCUAGGGUAGCAAAUGGG